UACGUAGGGUGCGAGCGUUGUCCGGAAUUAUUGGGCGUAAAGGGCUCGUAGGCGGUCUGUUGCGUCAGGAGUGAAAACUCGGGGCUUAACCCCGAGCCUGCUUCUGAUACGGGCAGACUAGAGGUAUGCAGGGGAGAACGGAAUUCCUGGUGUAGCGGUGAAAUGCGCAGAUAUCAGGAGGAACACCGGUGGCGAAGGCGGUUCUCUGGGCAGUACCUGACGCUGAGGAGCGAAAGUGUGGGGAGCGAACAGG
rnacentral:rRNA from 1 species